GAGAUGUCCAAGUGUAAAUUUAUGUAAGCUGGACAAAACAGCCAUGCCAAGGCAGAGAGACAUGGAAAAGUUUGCUGUGACAGCCCCAUGACGAGAGUUGAUGUGUGGAAGUGUGGAAUGGGAGCCCCAGGGAGAAUGAUGGAAGAAAUGGGCCAGAUGACCCCUUCAGUAUAUUGGUAUUCUCCAGUGAACAACCUCAAAAGCUCAUCAAACAGUAUGAAAAGAGAAAAGAAGGUCAGAGACGAAGGCCUGGAUGAGCAAAGAGGGCUACAGCUUCUCAAUAACACGAGCAAUGGAAUUCCUUUCUCCUGGUCCAAACAGAAGACAAAGUCAUAAACCAAACCAUGUUUUAUUAUAUAUAUAACUUCAGGCUCUAUCCAAAAAGGAUUUGAGUCUGUGUACAGUAAGGACCAGGGAUAUGGAAAUUCACUAAAAAAUAAACAGUAAAGCAGAACCAAAAGAAUAAGAAAAAGGGAAAGACUGGGAACUUCAUAGGAUAAUAUAAUUCUCCUUGACAUGGUGGAGGAUCACACUGGACUCACAUUGAGUUUUCCAGCAGUGGCAAAUAUGGGAGUAUAAAAUUCUAUAGCUCUUAUUAUGUGAGCAGCAAAAACUCUAAAAGUUGAUUAAAGAAGAUAAAAGUCUUUGUGGGGAUUAUUG
rnacentral:lncRNA from 1 species